UACGUAGGGGGCAAGCGUUGUCCGGAAUUAUUGGGCGUAAAGAGCGCGUAGGCGGUCCGAUAAGUCGGCUGUGAAAGUCGGGGGCUCAACCCUCGGAUGCCGGUGGAUACUGUCGGGCUUGAGUACGGAAGAGGCGAGUGGAAUUCCUGGUGUAGCGGUGAAAUGCGCAGAUAUCAGGAGGAACACCAAUUGCGAAGGCAGCUCGCUGGGACGUUACUGACGCUGAGACGCGAAAGCGUGGGGAGCAAACAGG
rnacentral:rRNA from 1 species